rnacentral:lncRNA from 1 species
GACCCGGCCGCCGCCGCCAUGCAGCCCUCCAGCCUUCUGCCGCUCGCCCUCUGCCUGCUGGCUGCACCCGCCUCCGCGCUCGUCAGGUGAAGCCUCAGGGGCCGGGGCUCAGGGACGGGCAGGGGUCGCGGCGCCGAGGUCCCGGGGCCUGUGGUGACUUUCGCGCUCCCCUGUGGCCCCCACGAGCCCCUUGCGCCCCCCGCGCUGGAAUGCACCUGUGCCGCCCUGCGCGGCCUCCUGCACGGACCACCCGCCUACGGGGCGCCGGGCUCCGGAGGUGCAGGGGACCCGGGGCAGAGGCGCCAGAUGCCUCUCCCCCAUAUGCCACCCUGGGUUCCCUUGCAAGGCAGCCCGCAUUCCCAGGAGGGGUAUGCUGACCC